CAUUCACACACUAUGGAUAUACAAAAUCAGCCUACAAUACAUGUCUUUGGAAUGGAGGGGAGAACCCGGAGGGAACCCCUGAAGUACGGGGAGAACAUACAAACUCCGCACACACAGGGCGAUGGCGGGAAUCAAACCCCCGACCCUGGAGGUGUGAGGCAAACGCACUAACCAUUAAUCCACCAUGUGAGGUGGCAGUGCUACCCACCGCAUCACUGUGCCAACAGUUAUAUAAUUAUAUGAUGAAUAAGUAUUCAUAAGUAAAAAUAUGAUAUUUUUCUGCAGGAACCCUUUUAAAGGUAAAAUCAUUAAUGAACCAGAUGGCCCAAAUGUUUAUACUGGGGUUCCAAAGGACUACACUGGAAAGGAGGUAUCAGCUGAGAACUUCCUGGCUGUACUGCGUGGAGAUUCGGAGGCUGUCAAGAAAACAGGAGGAAAAAAAGUCAUACAAAGUGGUGAAAAUGAUUCUGUCUUCAUCUACUUAUCAGACCAUGGAGGUCAUGGUGUCUUUUGCUUUCCUCAUUCCACACUUCAUGCACAUGACCUUAUUACGACAAUACAUACAAUGUCAAACAGCAGAAAAUUUUCAAAGAUGGUCCUGUAUUUGG